AAGAAACUAAGGUUCAGCUGAAAUUUAGCCCUUAUCAUCCCAGCUAUGAGGACUGAGGAGGAUUCAUUGAGAACUAGCUAGAUAAAAAGAGACAGAAGUUGAAGCAGGGCAUGUCUAUGAUGCACUGUGGGGUACUGCACAGAAUUUCUGAAGUCCUGCCUCUCAGCACCUCCUGAUUUCAUGGAGAAGACUCAUACCACUUCAUCUUAGCAGUCUCCCCAUGGGAGGUUUCCAUCUAGGCAUGCCCAAUGAGAAACCAGGUUACCAAAUGUGCACUAUUGGUUACAUAACAGUUUUUCUGAGCAUGUAUUAUAAUCUAUUUCAAUAGUUUCUUCAGGAUAUGGAUCUUUUCCAUAACUGUAUAUACAACUACUGAGGUGGUAUACAUUUCAGGAUUUGACACUAAAAUGCCUGGGAAUAAAAUAGAAGAUGGGACAACUUAGCUUGACUGAAUCAAGUUUUUAUAUAUAAAUAUGUAUUGCAUAAAUGCUGUCAGCACUGAAUAUCUCUGGUCGUGAGACAAAAGCUGAAUAAACAUUAAUUGAUUUCAAUUAAAUUAAUAAAAAACAUGUUGAAUU